rnacentral:rRNA from 1 species
AACCGGCGAUACCCGAAUGGGGAAACCCAGUGUGUUUCGACACACUAUCAUGUCAUGAAUACAUAGUGGCAUGAGGCGAACCGGGGGAACUGAAACAUCUAAGUACCCCGAGGAAAAGAAAUCAACCGAGAUUCCCCCAGUAGCGGCGAGCGAACGGGGAGGAGCCCAGAACCUGAAUCGGCUUGUGUGUUAGUGGAAGCGUCUGGAAAGUCGCGCAGCAAAGGGUGAUAGCCCCGUACACUAAAAUGCACAGGUCGUGAGUUCGAUGAGUAGGGCGGGACACGUGACAUCCUGUCUGAAUAUGGGGGGACCAUCCUCCAAGGCUAAAUACUCCUGACUGACCGAUAGUGAACCAGUACCGUGAGGGAAAGGCGAAAAGAACCCCGGCGAGGGGAGUGAAAUAGAACCUGAAACCGUGUACGUACAAGCAGUGGGAGCACCUUCGUGGUGUGACUGCGUACCUUUUGUAUAAUGGGUCAGCGACUUAUAUUUUGUAGCAAGGUUAACCGUAUAGGGGAGCCGUAGGGAAACCGAGUCUUAACUGGGCGAAUAGUUGCAAGGUAUAGACCCGAAACCCGGUGAUCUAGCCAUGGGCAGGUUGAAGGUUGGGUAACACUAACUGGAGGACCGAACCGACUAAUGUUGAAAAAUUAGCGGAUGACUUGUGGCUGGGGGUGAAAGGCCAAUCAAACCGGGAGAUAGCUGGUUCUCCCCGAAAGCUAUUUAGGUAGCGCCUCGUGAACUCAUCUUCGGGGGUAGAGCACUGUUUCGGCUAGGGGGCCAUCCCGGCUUACCAAACCGAUGCAAACUCCGAAUACCGAAGAAUGUUAUCACGGGAGACACACGGCGGGUGCUAACGUCCGUCGUGAAGAGGGAAACAACCCAGACCGCCAGCUAAGGUCCCAAAGUCAUGGUUAAGUGGGAAACGAUGUGGGAAGGCAUAGACAGCCAGGAUGUUGGCUUAGAAGCAGCCAUCAUUUAAAGAAAGCGUAAUAGCUCACUGGUCGAGUCGGCCUGCGCGGAAGAUGUAACGGGGCUAAACCAUGCACCGAAGCUGCGGCAGCGACGCUUAGGCGUUGUUGGGUAGGGGAGCGUUCUGUAAGCCGUUGAAGGUGGCCUGUGAGGGUUGCUGGAGGUAUCAGAAGUGCGAAUGCUGACAUAAGUAACGAUAAAGCGGGUGAAAAGCCCGCUCGCCGGAAGACCAAGGGUUCCUGUCCAACGUUAAUCGGGGCAGGGUGAGUCGACCCCUAAGGCGAGGCUGAAAAGCGUAGUCGAUGGGAAACAGGUUAAUAUUCCUGUACUUGGUGUUACUGCGAAGGGGGGACGGAGAAGGCUAGGCUAGCCGGGCGACGGUUGUCCCGGUUUAAGCGUGUAGGGGGUGUGACCUGGUAAAUCCGGUUGCAUAUCAACCCUGAGGCGUGAUGACGAUGCACUACGGUGCAGAAGUAGUUGAUGCCCUGCUUCCAGGAAAAGCCUCUAAGCAUCAGGUAACAUUAAAUCGUACCCCAAACCGACACAGGUGGUCAGGUAGAGAAUACCAAGGCGCUUGAGAGAACUCGGGUGAAGGAACUAGGCAAAAUGGUGCCGUAACUUCGGGAGAAGGCACGCUGGCAUGUAGGUGAAGUCCCUUGCGGAUGGAGCUGAAGCCAGUCGAAGAUACCAGCUGGCUGCAACUGUUUAAUAAAAACACAGCACUGUGCAAACACGAAAGUGGACGUAUACGGUGUGACGCCUGCCCGGUGCUGGAAGGUUAAUUGAUGGGGUCAGCCGCAAGGCGAAGCUCUUGAUCGAAGCCCCAGUAAACGGCGGCCGUAACUAUAACGGUCCUAAGGUAGCGAAAUUCCUUGUCGGGUAAGUUCCGACCUGCACGAAUGGCGUAAUGAUGGCCAGGCUGUCUCCACCCGAGACUCAGUGAAAUUGAACUCGCUGUGAAGAUGCAGUGUACCCGCGGCAAGACGGAAAGACCCCGUGAACCUUUACUAUAGCUUGACACUGAACAUUGAGCCUUGAUGUGUAGGAUAGGUGGGAGGCUUUGAAGCGUGGACGCCAGUCUGCGUGGAGCCAUCCUUGAAAUACCACCCUUUAAUGUUUGAUGUUCUAACUCGGCCCCGUGAUCCGGGGUGAGGACAGUGUCUGGUGGGUAGUUUGACUGGGGCGGUCUCCUCCCAAAGAGUAACGGAGGAGCACGAAGGUUAGCUAAUCACGGUCGGACAUCGUGAGGUUAGUGCAAAGGCAUAAGCUAGCUUGACUGCGAGAGUGACGGCUCGAGCAGGUACGAAAGUAGGUCUUAGUGAUCCGGUGGUUCUGAAUGGAAGGGCCAUCGCUCAACGGAUAAAAGGUACUCCGGGGAUAACAGGCUGAUACCGCCCAAGAGUUCAUAUCGACGGCGGUGUUUGGCACCUCGAUGUCGGCUCAUCACAUCCUGGGGCUGAAGUAGGUCCCAAGGGUAUGGCUGUUCGCCAUUUAAAGUGGUACGCGAGCUGGGUUUAGAACGUCGUGAGACAGUUCGGUCCCUAUCUGCCGUGGGCGUUGGAAGAUUGAGAGGGGUUGCUCCUAGUACGAGAGGACCGGAGUGAACGCACCACUGGUGUUCGGGUUGUCAUGCCAAUGGCAUUGCCCGGUAGCUAAGUGCGGAAAAGAUAAGCGCUGAAAGCAUCUAAGCGCGAAACUUGCCUCAAGAUGAGUCUUCCCUGGGCCUUUAAGGCCCCUGAAGGAACGUUUAAGACUAAGACGUUGAUAGGCUGGGUGUGUAAGUGCAGCGAUGCAUUGAGCUAACCAGUACUAAUGAUCCGUGAGGCUUAACCUUACAACACCGAAGGUGUUU